GAACGCCUGUAGCAAUACAGGAGUGGCAGACGGGUGAGUAACACGUGGGAACGUGCCCUUCGGUUCGGAAUAACCCCAGGGAAACUUGGGCUAAUACCGGAUACGUCCGCAAGGAGAAAGAUUUAUCGCCGAGGGAUCGGCCCGCGUCCGAUUAGCUAGUUGGUGAGGUAACGGCUCACCAAGGCGACGAUCGGUAGCUGGUCUGAGAGGAUGAUCAGCCACACUGGGACUGAGACACGGCCCAGACUCCUACGGGAGGCAGCAGUGGGGAAUAUUGGACAAUGGGCGCAAGCCUGAUCCAGCCAUGCCGCGUGAGUGAUGAAGGCCCUAGGGUUGUAAAGCUCUUUCGGCGGGGAAGAUAAUGACGGUACCCGCAGAAGAAGCCCCGGCUAACUUCGUG
rnacentral:rRNA from 1 species